AGUGAACGCUGGCGGCAUGCCUAAUACAUGCAAGUCGAGCGGACGGACGGUAAGAUCGCGUUUCUACUGUUAGCGACGGGCGGGUGAGUAAGACGUAGAUCACCUUCCUCUUAGUCUUGGGUGACAUCGGGAGACCGGAGAUACUAAUGGAUCAUAUGUCGUACCGCAUGGAUCAAGAGUGCUUGACGCUUUUGCUGACUCUUAUAGCUGGUUCCGCGUUGGAUUAGCUAGUUGGUAAGGUAACGGCUAACCAAGGCAACGAAGCGUAGCUGACCUGAGAGGAUGAUCAGCCACACUGGAACUGAGACACGGUCCAGACUCCUACGGGAGGCAGCAGUAGGGAAUCUUCGGCAAUGGGCGAAAGCCUGAUCCAGCCACGCCGCGUGAGUGAAGAAGGUCUUCGGAUUGUAAAGCCCUUUUAUUAGGGAAGAACAGCAGUGUGUUAAUCUCUGGCUGUCUUGACGGUACCUAAUCAAUAAGCCACGGCUAACUUCGUG
rnacentral:rRNA from 1 species